GCAAAUUAUAGUAUCUAAAACUGAAGUCUCAGCUCUGUGUCUUUGAGAUAUAAAUGUUCUACCAUGUCUUCUCUGGAACCUGAUAACUAUCUAUCUCUUUAAAAUGAAAGUCUAGGAAGAUGACUCAUCAGAAAAAGAAGAAAAAAGAGGUAUUUGGAAAUUGUGCAAAUUAAAGCAGCCCCUGAUGCCAAAGUCUACACAUUCCUGAGUGAGUCAGUUCUGGCCAGUUCUAGCUGGAUCAAGAGAGCUCUGCUGGGCAGGCCUGAAGAGCACCUGGAUGGCAGACACCUGAGGAGCCAGGUGCCUGAAACUUCCUCCACCUGCUUGAGGAGCGCCAAAGCCCAGGUGCUGGCUGGACAACCCCUUCUGGCUGCCUAAGCAGGUGGCAGAAGAAGGAAACAAGGUCAGAGGCAGAGUGUUGAACCCUGCCUCCCAGGUGGGUGGAAGAUGCCUGUCGCCAAACUAGGUCCCAGCUUGCCGGGUGAGAUGGGUGAACUGGUGAUCCCCCGAGAGAGUGGACGUCAGAACUACAUGUUUCCGGACUUCACCUUGGCCAGCGAAGGAGAGAGAGGGUUAAUGUUAACUGCACGAGGCCCACUCUAGCCUUAAAUUCUGUAAUUCAAACCCUUCCCUUGGAGACAAAACAAACAUGACAAGGAAUUCUGAGGUCAGGGGACAAGAAUCACAAGUUCCCUAGUGGGAGACUGAGGAGGCAGUGUCCUUCCUGCCCUUGGUCUACUGGCUAAGAACCUUCCUCAGCCUGACCUUUCCACAUUGCACUUUCAGCUCUGUUUGCAAUUGUCCUCCUUUAGUGCUGAGGGAAUCCCAGUGUUCGAUCCUGAAAUCUAUAGGUUCCUAAUGGGUGGUUAAAAAAAACCUCAGCGAGAGAAGCAGAAAAUGUUUCCUUUUCCUGAAAAACUGUAGAAAGGCAGGCACCAUUCUGGGUGAGGACAUGGUCCUUGCAAAUGUCUUUGUGUUUUGUGUUUUUUUUUUUUUUUUUUUUUUUUGAGAUGAAGUUUUGCUCUUGUUGCCCAGACUGGAGUGCAGUGGUGUGAUCUCUGCUCAUUGCAACCUCCACCUCCUGGGUUCAAGCAGUUCUCCUACCUCAGCCUCCUGAGUAGCUGGAAUUACAGGCACCUGCCACCACACCUGGCUAAUUUUUUGUAUUUUUAGUAGAGAUGGGGUUUUGCCAUGUUGGUCUCGAACUCCUGACCUCAAGUGAGCCACCCGCUUCUGCCUCCCAAAGUGCUGGGAUUACAGGAGUGAGCCACCGCGUCCAGCCUGCAAACAUCUUUAAAGACAGCGUGUUUCAGAGGCUGUGACGGUGCCUUGUGAACAUGCCAAUUCUCGCAGUCCCGGGAGCUCUGAGGAGCAGGCCCAGCUCCUUGCCAGGCUGAUGGUACUGAAACUCUGCUCUCCAAGACAUAACCUGAUGGCCGUGCAAGAUUUCUUAAUCGACUGUGGACCGUGAGAGUCUGCAUCUCAUUUUAAUUAAGAUGGGAAAAGAAAGAACAAAAGAGCAACUCCCAGGUUAUAGAGAAACUGGAUUUUAGUGUAAUAUUGAAGUGUAGCAUUGCUAAUAAUAACAAACCUUUCCCCUGCCAAACGGUAAACACUUGCACUGCCUAUUAUACAAAAAUUCAACCACCCUCUCUGUUCCCCCGAUAUCUCCUCCCCAGUGACCCCCCUCUCAUGCGGCCUCAUGAGCCUGGCCAGUGGUGAAUGGCACUUUCAUGGGCAUGAGACUCCACGUGAGUGGGACUCAGCUGGGACCCCUCUCCCCGUGGGAGCUGGAGAAGCCACCCUAGUGCCAGCUCAAAGUGUCUGUGAUGUCCCUGCUGCUGAGGUAGGGGCCGCCUCUGAGCUGGUCUUGGGGUGUGAGCUGCUGCUGGUAGUGGGCUCUGCCCUGAGGGCCUGGUGGCUGGUCAGAACGGCAGGCACACAUGGGUGACUCCCUAGGAACUCAGCCCACCUCCCCACCACAGCCCUGCACUGUGUGCUCCAGGCAUGUGCUGAGUGCCUGGUCAAUCACCAGUACCCUAUUGAUCCCCGUCUCCAGAGAGAUCAUUUAGUGUCACUCCACAGAGGGGGAAACUGAGGCCCAGAGAAGUAAGGUGACUCUCCCCAGUCACAGGGCUGCUCAGCAGUAGGAUGGGAGGCUAGUCCCUUGCUGUCUGACUCCCUGAGCCCACCCAUAUCCCAAGGCAGCCAACCUCUGCCCGCCCUGGUUCAGGCCCUGACUGGCCCCUGUGGUGGGUGAUGUCUAUCUUCCUGGACUUUAUGCUCCCAGCCAACUGGGAUGGAGCCUCCAGCUGGCAUGACAGGUUGUAGCUAUGGACAGAAGAGUGGCUGUGAGGCUGCCAGGAAUCUCACCAGGGCCCCCUCCCAGGGCCUGUCCAGAGUGAGGUCUGGGUACCCCAGGCAUUGCCAGACCACAGGAUCUGAUGUUGGCCAAGAGGCCAUGGCCACAGGCUUUCUGAGGCUGGCCCCCAGGGAGAGUUCAAUCCUACUAUCCCAAUUCCUGCCCUGGCCUUACCUCUCAGUCUCACCGAGCCGCUUCAUGGUCCCAAACCAGGACCCAAAGUGCUGCUUGGGCUCAAGGUUGUAAUUAUUUGCAGCCAACUGGAGCAGCGGACCUCCUUGCUUACUUUGAAUUCCUGGGUCCAGAGGGAAAAACUGGGUGGUGACAGGGACUGGACAGGGAUGCCACAGGGGCCCUGUGGGGGUGUUAGAUGGGGUGGUGGCCAGUCUUUGCUCAUAGGGCACAACCUCCUCCUCUCCAGUCCUGUCUCCACCUGUUCUCAGAGCUGGCUCAAACGGCAGCUCCUCCAGGAAGGUGUCCUUGGUUUCAACCUGGUACUCCCACCUGCAGGUCUUCCUGGAGUGUCUCCUCUUUGUCUCUGUCUCCCCAUAAAUCUAAGAUGAGGGGGAUGGAUUUGCCCACCGCUACUCACCAUAUGACUCUUGUGAGGUUGAUCAGUCUCCCCUGGAAGGCCAACAGCUGAAGUCCAUCAGAAAGGGUCCUCUGGCCCAGAGCCAGCCCCUGCCCACCCCUGUCAUGCUGCACCCAGGGUGCAAGACCCAGAUCAGGUCUGGGUGACAGGAGGGCUAUAGAGGGGCUGAGACUCAGGGGCCUUCUAGCCUAACUUGUCUGGAGACAUUUGGGGAAACUGAGACCCCAAGCAGGGAGGUAUGGCUCCGAGAGAUUAUUCUCAUUAAUCUGGAACAUUUUUGCAAGCUGUUAGGUAUAGGAAGUCUGUCACAGGUAAGAGAAAUGCUUUUUGAGAGCAUGAGAGACAGCAGGGUUGUGACAAUAUUGAAACACCACCAUGCAGAUUCACCAAUUGCCACCACCGGGAGCCCCCUGAGAGCCAUUGCAGAUGCACAGCCCUCCCCUGCAACCCCUGGACCUCCCCAUGGUCUGGCACCUAAAGGGUUAUGCCUUAUGGCAGGAAUCAGGGCCCUCAGGAUGCCCUGCCCACUCCAAGGUCUGCCUCUGCUCUGAUUGGUCACUGACAUUCAGAUAGUCACCCAAAUAUAAGGACGUUAGCAGAAAGACUCAUUCAAUACAAGUGGACUCAGACAUAGAUAGGAAUUGGGUUGCAAAAAGCCCCUUUUGUUUCUUUUAUUUUAUUUUGGAAAAAACUUUUAUUGUGAAAAUUCACAUGUAUGUAUAGAAAAAAAUUCAAUUAAUGCAAAAGGAUAGACAAUGAACAAAUGAAUUCCCCUUCCACUCCAGAUCCCCAACUCAGAUCCAGACCUCCUGAGCCCACUUCCCCCAUCUCAUCACAGAUCCAGACCUCCUGAGCCCACUUUCCCCAUCUCAUCACAGAUCCAGACCUCCUGAGCCCACUUCCCCAUCUCAUCACCAGUGAUUUCUUGGGCUCUGCAUUAGUUUUCUAUUGCUGCUGCAACAAACAGCUACAGACUCAGUGGCUUCCAUUUCUGUCUUAUAGUUCUGGUUGCCAAAAGUCCUAAGAGGAUCUCACUGGGCUAAAGUCAAGGUGCUGGCAGGGCUAUGUCCCUUCUGGAGGCUCAAGGGAUGAAUCGGGUCCCUGCCUUUUCUAGCUUCUAGGGGCUCCAGCUUCUAGGUUUGUGGCCUCCUUCCUCCAUCCUCAAAGCCAGCAACAGCAGGUGAAGUCCUCGCCCAUCGUGCAUCACUCUCCCUUCUGCCUCCUUCAACAUUUUUUUUUUAUAUUUAGGGGGAACGAGUACAGGAUUCUUACAUAGUCAAAAAGCUCCUUAUAGAGAAGCUCGGAACUUUCAAUACAGCUUUGCCUUUUUUGCCAUUUUAAUUUUCCAUUUAAUUUAAAUGUAUUCUCUCAUUUGAUCUUCAUACUCUGUGGAGAAAUAUUUCUAUUUCAGCUUGUAUUGACAAGCUGUUUUCACACAGCCCCCGCAUCACCCAACCAACCAGCCGAGAUCCUCAUUCCCAUGAAACAGAUAAAGAAACUGAGGCCCAGGGAGGCUAAGAGUCCUACCAGGAUCAUUCACCUUCCAAGGUAAGGAGCCCGUUCCAGACCUGGGUUUGUGCAGCUCCAAGCUCCCCCGUCUUUCUACAAUGCUAGAUUUAGACUAUAGCAAUCUAGCAAGUGUGGCCACACAAUGGUCAAGUUGGAUUUAGAUGAUGUUCUCUAUAAAUCCAUUCUCCUCUCCCGUGUAAGCAAGGCAAAGUACUCCAGGCCAUGGGGAGUCCCUGAAGACUCGAUGAACUGCAGUGGCCACAUCAGGAGGUUGCAGGUUAACCAGAACUCACCGACACAGCAGGAGAGCAGCUUGGAACCUGCAACCUAGCCAAAACCUAGUGCCUUGGAUUGGGGGAGAAAACAUGCAGCCAUUCCUCUCUCUCUGCUGGCUAGAGGGGAUUCUGGCUUUUCCUCCCAGAGCCACCCCUUUCCCUCCUCCUAAAGUUGAUGGUGGUUCUUUAAGGAAAGGGAGAAGUGCACAGUGUGAUAGGGCAGGAAGAGAAGGAAACGGAGGAGAGGAGGGGACUUUCCCAUAAGCAGGCAGAAGAAAAGGCAGCUGUGUUGUGAUGGACAUGGAUGCAGUGGUGUCCGAUGUGGGGUCAGCCCUAGAGGAGAGACAGAGAGAGAGACAGAAAAGUGAGAGAGUCCUGACCCUUACGAUUAACAUGGGAUCUGCCUGCAAAUGCUGUUUAGGGCCAUUGCCUCUUCCUGUACUGCUAUUUUUGAGAGUGAUGCUCCUGAGCCCCAUGACCCAGUCAAAUUUGAUGUCCCCUCGAGCCAGAUUCAGUGCUGGGAGUCCAGUGUGAUCUGCCUGGAUCUUGCUGCAUUGAGAACAGGCCAGAUCUUGACCCCAAUACAGGGGCUGGAUAUGAACAGGCAAUAGCUGGGUUUCUGAGUCAGAAAGACUUGGUUGAUUGCUAAUUGCUUAGGCGAGUAAUUUAAUUUUGUUGAGUCAGAUUCCUCAGCUACAAAAUGCAGAUGACAGUACUUACUCCUCCAGGUUGUGGGGAAAAUGGAGAUUCUGAGCACGAUGUCCAUUUCACAGAAAGGUACCAAUUUGGUGGCUUAUUUUCCUUUCUACCUUCAGAAGUGGCUAUCCCUGCCACCCAAACAGACCCUUGACUCUCAAGUGUACGGGGUCCCAUUUACACAGGGGGAGAGCUUACAGCCUACGUUGAGUCUAUACUUACCACUUAGUGAGCAUGGUAUCCGCUCAGGGGCCUCUGUGGGCAUCCAUCUCCUCUGCAGCAUCUUUCCUCCCCACCGCUGGGCCUGCACAUGACCCCCUCCUUGGGUUAGACCUCUGAUCAGUGAUGACCUUGGUAUGCUGGUGAUGGUCAGUCUUGGCACCAAAUGAGACAGUUUAUGUCAUCAGCUAUUCAAUAAAACACUAAUCUAGUUGUCACCGUGAAAGUAUUUUGUGACAUUGUUAUGUACGUGUUGUUACAAAUGUGCAUGAUGCAUUUACUACAGCAUAGAAUUUUGCCUGGGUGCCAGCCUGAAGUCUGUCCGACAGAUCAUAGCCAUGUUAGUCCCACAGUCACAGAGGCCAAUGGAUUAAAUUAUUUUAUCUCCCUUGAGAACAAAAAAUAAAAUCCUAAGCCCCCCACCCGACUUAACAGACCCCCUGUUGGCCAACGGAACCUCAAAUAAAUCUUAAAAUUCAGUUCUCGGCCAUGACAGGACAGGAGGUCAGACAUACCUCCCUGUACCUCCCUCCCUCUUAUGGUUUAGACCCAACAACUGAGCAGCAUUAAUGUUAAAAUAGAGAUCAUGAGACUGACAGAACAGACUCUUUGUGGCAAUAAGACCUCAAAUUAUAAACAGGGCCUAGGGCCAUGCCAGGCGAGGGUUAAGUCUUGUACCCUACUCUUAAAGAAUUAACUAGAUUCUAACUACCACAUGGGUUUUAUUUUUCUCUAGCAGCCAAGCAAGCACUGGCUGUGAGAGAAGCAAGAUUAAAACAAUUACAACUCACCCAGUUCACAGACGCUGAGUAACUGAUCUCCUGCCCCACUAACCUUAACGACAGCUUUCUCUGGACAAGGGACUGAUUUCAGUAACUUUCUCCUGAUAAGAGACCAUCCUCCAUGGACUGGUUCUGGCCAGUUUUAGAGGCUGUGCCUUUACAGAGGCUGAGCCUUUACAGAGGCUGAGUACCUUUAUGUCCCUGCUUCACUUUUUGAUGUGUAGGGCCUAAUUAUAAUACAUUUAAAUGUCAAGUCUCCACCCCAGAAUGAACAUGCAUGUUUAUUGAAUAUGCAUGCGUUAGGACCUCUUUUAUGAGUAUUCUCAUAAAAUGAUGUAGCUCCUCUGAUAUCCUAUUGAGUAUGUAUAUGUAGCCAACUCAUUUGGCUCAAAUUCCUGUCCUCUCCUUCCCUCCCUGGAAAUGCCUGCCUCUGGCCUUGGCUGUAGGCCACACUUCCCAGCCUGUCAUAAUGGCCACCUUGCGGACUGCAAACCUUUAUAAGAAAUAAAGCUCUC
rnacentral:lncRNA from 10 species